rnacentral:misc_RNA from 1 species
AAGUCGUAACAAGGUCUCCGUAGGUGAACCUGCGGAGGGAUCAUUACCGAGUUAGGGUCUCACCGGCCCGAAUCUCCCAACCCUUUGUCUACUUGACCAUCGUUGCUUCGGCGAGCCCGUCCUCACGGACCGCCGGGGGGUCUUCGUACCCCUUGGCCCGUGCUCGUCGAUAGCCCCCACAUUAAAAAAAUCUUUAACUAAACGUGUUUUGAAUCUAAGUAUUAUUGUCAAAUAAAAACAAAACUUUCAACAACGGAUCUCUUGGUUCUG